CCAGCAGCUGCGGUAAUUCCGGCUCCAAUAGCGUAUAUUAAAGUUGUUGCAGUUAAAAAGCUCGUAGUUGGACUUCCGGCUGCUCAGGUGGUCCGCCGAAAGGUGAGUACUACCUUGAGUGGCCUUCCUCUCGAGGACCACAUGUGCCCUUAACUGGAUGUGUGUGGGACUCGGGAUCUUUACUUUGAAAAAAUUAGAGUGUUCAAAGCAGGCCUUCGCUUGAAUACUUCAGCAUGGAAUAAUGGAAUAGGACUUUGGUUCUAUUUGUUGGUUUCAGGACCGAAGUAAUGAUUAAUAGGGACAGUCGGGGGCAUUAGUAUUUAAUUGUCAGAGGUGAAAUUCUUGGAUUUAUGAAAGACUAACUACUGCGAAAGCAUUUGCCAAGGAUGUUUUCAUCAAUCAAGAACGAAAGU
rnacentral:rRNA from 1 species